UACGAAUUAGUUGGAUCUGCGUUGUCAUCUCAGUAUGAGCAGCUUAGAGUUGUAAAUACUGAAGGAGGAAACAUUCUCACAACUGAAAGUAGCUACAGAAAGUAUUCUCACAAAAAAAAGGAAACUGAACGGUGAUGCAAUCUCUGUAAGUGAGCACAAGUUCAUCUUUAUAUUUGUUACACAUUACGCCAGGCAAGUUAAGAAGUCGGGACGCUGGUGGGGAGGAAGGCAAUUCCGUCACGCCCGUGCCGGGUUUCAAGCUCCCGCCCCUUCCUCCGAACACUCCCUGAUAAUUCAGUUCAUGUCACAGGGCGAGCGUGGCGUGUCCUGAACUUUCAUUAGCCCUGUGAAAGGUGUUGGGGAAUCCAAGGAUCCAAGAAUGCUUGAGUAAUAUAGUUCAAAUAACUGUAAUGCAGCAUGCCAGCAUCGGCUAUGUUUUAUGAUGCUGCUUCAGUUCAUUAAUUGUAAGGCAGCAACAGCAGUAGUAAUGGAAGAAAUAGUGGGCAUUUUGCUUGAUCUAGUUCAGGUGAGAAACUUGAUGAUCUUUGAGAAGGGAAAGCACGACGAUUGGUCAUGGCAAUAAACAAUUUCAGAGAAACAGCAAAAGAGACUUGAACAAGGUCGACUGUAUUUCCAUCGACAAACAAUUGGUCGUGCUCAAAGCGAGUGAAACUGCAAGUUUUUCAUCCUAAUUAAACUAAUAAGAGGACGGUAAUACUCAGCAAGAUACAACAGCAAACAGAACAAGGAAAUCCAGCACCAGUUCACCGGUUUCAAAGCCUAUAGCAUUCCGUACCUGCGACGCGACUGCUGUCAAGCCUGUGUGCACUCUCAACGGGGUCAGAGAUUCAG
rnacentral:lncRNA from 1 species